AUAGCAUUCAUUACACCAUAUAUACUAAAAUUGGAAUGAUACAGAGAAGAUUAGCAUGGCCCCUGCGCAAGGAUGACGCACAAAUACAUGAAGCGUUCCCCCCCACC
rnacentral:snRNA from 1 species